GCAUUGGGGUGUUCUUGGUGUGG
rnacentral:siRNA from 1 species